rnacentral:rRNA from 1 species
UACGUAGGUGGCGAGCGUUAUCCGGAAUUACUGGGCGUAAAGCGCUUGUGGGCGGCUUCGUAAGUUGGGCGUGAAAGCCCCGGGCUUACCCCGGAGAGGCCGUCCAAUACUGCGGAGCUCGAGGGUGCCAGAGGAAGGUGGAAUUCCUGGUGCAGCGGUGAAAUGCGUAGAUAUCAGGAGGAACACCCGUGGCGAAGGCGGCUUUCUGGGGCAUUCCUGACGCUGAGAAGCGAAAGCUAGGGGAGCACACAGG